GACGAACGCUGGCGGCGUGCUUAACACAUGCAAGUCGAACGGAAAGGCCCUGCUUUUGUGGGGUGCUCGAGUGGCGAACGGGUGAGUAACACGUGAGUAACCUGCCCUUGACUUUGGGAUAACUUCAGGAAACUGGGGCUAAUACCGGAUAGGAUCUCCGGCUGCAUGGUGGGGGUUGGAAAGUUUCGGCGGUGGGGGAUGGACUCGCGGCUUAUCAGUUUGUUGGUGGGGUAGUGGCUUACCAAGGCUUUGACGGGUGGCCGGCCUGGGCGGGUGACCGGCCACAUUGGGACUGGGAUACGGCCCAGACUCCUACGGGGGGAAGCAGUGGGGAAUAUUGCACAAUGGGCGGAAGCCUGAUGCAGCAACGCCGCGUGCGGGAUGACGGCCUUCGGGUUGUAAACCGCUUUAGCCUGUGACGAAGCGUGAGUGACGGUAAUGGGUAAAGAAGCACCGGCUAACUACGUG
rnacentral:rRNA from 1 species